rnacentral:rRNA from 1 species
ACGCUGUCACUCCUACGGGAGGCAGCAGUGGGAAUAUUGCACAAUGGGGGAAACCCUGAUGCAGCAUGCCGCGUGUGUGAAGAAGGCCUUCGGGUUUGUAAAGCACUUUCAGUAGGGAGGAAGGUAAGUGCUAGUUAACACCUGCAUUAUUUGACGUUACCUUACAGAAGAAGCACCGGCUAACUCCGUGCCAGCAGCCGCGGUAAUACGGAGGGUGCGAGCGUUAAUCGGAAUUACUGGGCGUAAAGCGCAUGCAGGCGGCCUGUUAAGUCAGAUGUGAAAGCCCGGGGCUUAACCUCGGAAUUGCAUUUGAAACUGGCAGGCUAGAGUCUUGUAAGAGGGGGGUAGAAUUUCAGGUGUAGCGGUGAAAUGCGUAGAGAUCUGAAGGAAUACCAGUGGCGAAGGCGGCCCCCUGGACAAAGACUGACGCUCAGAUGCGAAAGCGUGGGGAGCAAACAGGAUUAGAUACCCUGGUAG